GAUGAACGCUGGCGGCGUGCCUAAUACAUGCAAGUCGAGCGAACAGAUGAGGAGCUUGCUCCUCUGACGUUAGCGGCGGACGGGUGAGUAACACGUGGAUAACCUACCUAUAAGACUGGGAUAACUUCGGGAAACCGGAGCUAAUACCGGAUAAUAUAUUGAACCGCAUGGUUCAAUAGUGAAAGACGGUUUUGCUGUCACCUAUAGAUGGAUCCGCGCCGCAUUAGCUAGUUGGUAAGGUAACGGCUUACCAAGGCAACGAUGCGUAGCCGACCUGAGAGGGUGAUCGGCCACACUGGAACUGAGACACGGUCCAGACUCCUACGGGAGGCAGCAGUAGGGAAUCUUCCGCAAUGGGCGAAAGCUUGACGGAGCAACGCCGCGUGAGUGAUGAAGGUCUUCGGAUCGUAAAACUCUGUUAUUAGGGAAGAACAAAUGUGUAAGUAACUAUGCACGUCUUGACGGUACCUAAUCAGAAAGCCACGGCUAACUACGUG
rnacentral:rRNA from 1 species